rnacentral:antisense_RNA from 1 species
AGGCAACGGGGGCGGGUCCCUGGGUCUGCAGAGCCUGGGGGCCAGAACACGUGGCUUCCCGGUGGCCCUCACCUUGCAGAGUUGGACAAAGAGGACUAAGUUGGUGGCCUAGGUGUGGAGGCUGGUGGGGCCACCACCACAGACCACAGGAGGGGAUGUGUGCAGGCCAGGGUCCAGCCUUGCCUGAGGGUUGCACAGUGUUUUAAAUGACUUCUGCACUGGCGGGCCUCUCCUCCCGAAACCAGUCUCUCCCUCUUAACUCCAUACAGUAAGCAAGGCCCGGUAAGAAGUUGGGUUUCCCUGCCAUCCUUCCUGCCCCAGCCCCUCAUCCUCAACUCACCAUCAACCCUUCCACGAUCCCAAAUUGCUCGUGGAUGACUUUGGCGAGGGGAGCCAAACAGUUGGUGGUGCAGGACGCGUUGCUGAAACAGCCAAGGUGUGCACGGACACUGUGAGGUGGUGACCUCCCCAACUCAGCCCUCAACCUCCUCAGAGGCGCCAACGCUGACUGCUGUCAGCCAGCCCAGACCCUUUCUCCAUAUGCUGCCCGGGACGUGGACUCUGACUGUGAGGCCUGCCCGGCUGCUUUCUGCUUCCCAGCCCUGACAACCUCGCCACGAACCCUCCUAGACCCUCAGCUCCUACAAUAGGAAGCUGGCUGCCAAAGGCCAGGAGAGUCCCUGAAGACAGACACUGCAUUAAAGAAAAAGCUCCUGGAGGACUCCUGAAGCCUGAGGCAGCCUUGGGGCGGCAGUGGCUCAUGGUUUACAUUAGAAAGGUUUAUCAUGAGUAACCAGGUGCUUUGCUUCUGUGAUUCUCGGCCAGUGUAGGUCUGUUUCCUUUGCCAUUGAGCCUGCUCCUCUCAAUGGGGGUUCAAUCAAUGUUUGUGGGGUUUGUUUGUUUUGAGACAGGGUCUUCCUCUGUCGCCCAGGCUGGAGUGCAGUGGUGCAAUCAGAGCUCACCGCAGCCUUGAUCUUCCUGGCUCCGGCCAUCCUCCUGCCUUGGCCUCCCGAGUAGCUGGGAAUACAGGCGCACGCCACCAUGCCCAGCUAAUUUUUAAAUUUUUUUGUAGAGAUGGGGUCUCACUUUUGUUGCCCAGGGUGCUUUAGAACCCCUGGGCUCAAGUGAUCCUUGGCCUCCCACAGUGCUGGGAUUACAGGUGUGAGCCACCGUGCCUGGCCUCAUGGGUUUUCUUUGUUUGUUUUGUUUUGUUUUGUUUUUGAGACAGAGUCUCACUCUGUCACUCAGGCUGGAGUGCAGUGGCACGAUUUUGGCUCACUGCAACCUCCACCUUCCGGGUUCAAGCGAUUCUCCUGCCUCCGCCUCCUGAGUAGUUGGGGUUACAGGCAUGCGCUACCACACCUGGCUAGUUUUUUAUUGUUGUUGUUUUUUGUAUUUUUAGUGGUGACGGGGUUUUGCUCUGUUGGCCAGGCUGGUCUCAAACUCCUGACCUCAGGUGAUCCCCACUGCAGCCUCCCAAAGUGCUGGGAUGACAGGCAUGAGCCGCUGCACCUGGCCUCGUGUUUUUUUUUUUUUAGUUAGCCAUUUUAUACAUCUUUACUGAACACCUGUCCUGUGCCCGUAUUCUAAGUGCCUUACCUGUAUUAAACUCAUGUAACCUUCACAACCCAA